UCGGGAAUUUUGGGCUAUGGGCGAAAGCCUGACCCAGCAACGCCGCGUGAGGGAUGAAGUAUUUCGGUAUGUAAACCUCGAAAGAAUGGGAAGAAUAAAUGACGGUACCAUUUAUAAGCUCCGGCUAACUACGUGCCAGCAGCCGCGGUAAUACGUAGGGAGCAAGCGUUGUUCGGAUUUACUGGGCGUAAAGGGCGCGUAGGCGGCGCGGUAAGUCACUUGUAAAAUCUCUGAGCUUAACUCAGAACGGCCAAGUGAUACUGCUGUGCUAGAGUGCGGAAGAGGCAACCGGAAUUCUUGGUGUAGCGGUGAAAUGCGUAGAUAUCAAGAGGAACACCUGAGGCGAAGGCGGGUUGCUGGGCCGACACUGACGCUGAUGCGCGAAAGCCAGGGGAGCAAACG
rnacentral:rRNA from 1 species